AGCGAACGCUGGCGGCAGGCUUAACACAUGCAAGUCGAGCGGGCACUUCGGUGUCAGCGGCAGACGGGUGAGUAACACGUGGGAACGUACCCUUCGGUUCGGAAUAACGCUGGGAAACUAGCGCUAAUACCGGAUACGCCCUUUUGGGGAAAGGUUUACUGCCGAAGGAUCGGCCCGCGUCUGAUUAGCUAGUUGGUGGGGUAAUGGCCUACCAAGGCGACGAUCAGUAGCUAGUCUGAGAGGAUGAUCAGCCACACUGGGACUGAGACACGGCCCAGACUCCUACGGGAGGCAGCAGUGGGGAAUAUUGGACAAUGGGCGCAAGCCUGAUCCAGCCAUGCCGCGUGAGUGAUGAAGGCCUUAGGGUUGUAAAGCUCUUUUGUCCGGGACGAUAAUGACGGUACCGGAAGAAUAAGCCCCGGCUAACUUCGUG
rnacentral:rRNA from 1 species